AUGCGCUUCAAGCUUCUCUGCUGUGUGUUUCUUUGGUCCUGGGGAUCAGGUCAGUUUCUGCUACGAACUUCCUCUGAGGUCACCCAGAGUCCUCGACAUCUACUCAAAGAAGAAAAACAGAAAGCCACGAUGGAUUGUGUCCCUGUGAAAACGCAUAUUCACGUGUUCUGGUAUUACCAGAAGCCGGGAGAAGAGAUCAAGUUUUUGGUUUACUUACGAAGUCAAUAUAUUACUCACAAAAUACGAGGGUUUGAGGAGAGAUAUUCAGCUCAGUGCCCCCCAGACUCACCCUGCAGCCUGGAAAUCAAGUCCAGUGAAGCCGGGGACUCGGCCUUUUAUUUCUGCGCCAGCAGUGAAUCACGGUGA